rnacentral:rRNA from 1 species
GACGAACGCUGGCGGCGUGCUUAACACAUGCAAGUCGAACGCUGAAGCCCGCAGCUUGCUGUGGGUGGAUGAGUGGCGAACGGGUGAGUAACACGUGAGUAACCUGCCCUUCACUGUGGGAUAAGCCUUGGAAACGAGGUCUAAUACCGCAUAUUCACUUCGCAUCGCAUGGUGUGUUGUGGAAAGUUUUUUCGGUGAGGGAUGGGCUCGCGGCCUAUCAGCUUGAUGGUGGGGUAAUGGCCUACCAUGGCGACGACGGGUAGCCGGCCUGAGAGGGCGACCGGCCACACUGGGACUGAGACACGGCCCAGACUCCUACGGGAGGCAGCAGUGGGGAAUAUUGCACAAUGGGGGAAACCCUGAUGCAGCGACGCCGCGUGGGGGAUGACGGCCUUCGGGUUGUAAACCUCUUUCAGUAGGGAAGAAGCCCCUUGGGGUGACGGUACCUGCAGAAGAAGCACCGGCUAACUACGUGCCAGCCGCC